UACGGAGGGUGCGAGCGUUAUCCGGAAUCACUGGGCGUAAAGGGCGCGUAGGCGGCUUGUUAAGUCUGGAGUAGAAGUCCUCUUUUCAAGGGAGGAAUUGCUUUGGAAACUGGCGGGCUUGAGUGCAGGAGAGGUUAUCGGAAUUCCCGGUGUAGCGGUGACAUGCGUAGAGAUCGGGAGGAACACCAGUGGCGAAGGCGGGUAACUGGACUGCAACUGACGCUGAGGCGCGAAAGUGUGGGGAGCAAACAGGAUUAGAUACCCGUGUAGUCCCU
rnacentral:rRNA from 1 species